UCCUCCCCAUCUCGCACCUACAACAAGCAGCAACAUGCAUCAUCUAUUUAUUUAUUUAUUUAUUUUUGGUAAUAACAUCAUCUAUUUAUUUAAUGAGGCUCGUUUAAAAUUAGUGGACAAUGUUAGUUUUAUCUUUCACCCUUUUUUAAUAUUAUCGGGUGAAGCCUAAUUAUCCUGAAUACCUGAUUGGGGGACCAUUGUGCCACCAUCUGA
rnacentral:lncRNA from 1 species